ACCGCCCGUCACACCAUGGGAGUGGGUUGCAAAAGAAGUAGGUAGCUUAACCUUCGGGAGGGCGCUUACCACUUUGUGAUUCAUGACUGGGGUGAAGUCGUAACAAGGUAACCGUAGGGGAACCUGCGGUUGGAUCACCUCCUUACCUUAAAGA
rnacentral:rRNA from 1 species